ensembl:misc_RNA Metazoa_SRP Metazoan signal recognition particle RNA
GUUGGGCGUGGUGGCGGGCGCCUGUAAUCCCAGCUCCUCGGGAGGCUGAGGCAGAAGAAUCACUUGAACGCGGGAGGUGUAGGUUGCAGUGAGCUGAGAUCGAGCCACUGCACUCCAGCCUGGGUGACAGAGUGAGACUCCGUCUCAA